rnacentral:rRNA from 1 species
AUUGAACGCUGGCGGCAGGCCUAACACAUGCAAGUCGAACGAGUGGCGGACGGGUGAGUAAUGUCUGGGAACCUGCCUGAUGGAGGGGGAUACCUACUGGAAACGGUAGCUAAUCCCGCUAAGCCUCAGCUGAUCCAAGAUUGGGUUAGCUGGUUGGUGGGGGAACGGCUCACCAAGGCGACGAUUCCUAACUGGUCUGGGAGGAUGACCAGCCAAACGGGAACUGAGACACGGUCCAGACUCCUAAGGGAGGCAGCAGGGGGGAAGAUUGCACAAUGGGGGCAAGCCUGAUGCAGCCAUGGCGCGUGGAUGAAGAAGGGUCUCGGGUUGGAAAGUACUUGCAGCGGGGAGGCGUUACCCGCAGAAGAAGCCCAGGCUGACUCAGGGCCAGCAGGCGCGGUAAUUC